rnacentral:rRNA from 1 species
UACGAGGGGGGCGAGCGUUGUUCGGAAUUAUUGGGCGUAAAGGGUGCGUAGGCGGUUUGGUAAGUCUGAUGUGAAAUCUAUGGGCUCAACUCAUAGUCUGCAUCGGAAACUGCCGGGCUUGAGUAUGGGAGAGGUGAGUGGAAUUCCUGGUGUAGCGGUGAAAUGCGUAGAUAUCUGGAGGAACACCGGUGGCGAAGGCGGCAUCCUGGACCGGUAUUGACGCUGAGGCGCGAAAGCUAGGGGAGCAAACGGG